rnacentral:rRNA from 1 species
UACGGAGGAUCCAAGCGUUAUCCGGAUUUAUUGGGUUUAAAGGGUGCGUAGGCGGCUUAUUAAGUCAGGGGUGAAAGACGGUGGCUCAACCAUCGCAGUGCCUUUGAUACUGAUGGGCUUGAAUGUAGUUGAGGUAGGCGGAAUGUGACAAGUAGCGGUGAAAUGCAUAGAUAUGUCACAGAACACCAAUUGCGAAGGCAGCUUACUAAAGUAUGAUUGACGCUGAGGCACGAAAGCGUGGGGAUCAAACAGG